UACGUAGGGACCGAGCGUUGUCCGGAAUCAUUGGGCGUAAAGAGCGUGUAGGCGGCUUGUUAAGUCUUGCGUGAAAUCUCGGGGCUCAACCCCGAGCGGUCGUGAGAAACUGGCAGGCUAGAGUGCGGGAGAGGAGAGUGGAAUUCCGGGGUGUAGCGGUGGAAUGCGUAGAGAUCCGGAAGAACACCGGUGGCGAAGGGCGGUGAGCUGGGCAGUAGCUGACACUGAGGCGCGACAGCGUGGGGAGCAAACAGG
rnacentral:rRNA from 1 species